GUGCAGCAGGCGCGAAAACUCCGCUAUGUCGGAAACGACGACGGGGGAAUCCUGAGUGCCUGCACUAUUGUGCAGGCUUUUGUCGAGACUAGAAACCUCGGCGAAUAAGGACUGGACAAGACCGGUGCCAGCACCCGCGGUAACACCGGCGGUCCAAGUGGUAGCCACAAUUACUGGGUUUGAAGCGUCCGCAGCUGGACUGCUAAAAUCCUGGGUCAAAAUCCUGGAGCUUAACUUCAGGGUCGCCUGGGACACUGACAGUCUCGGGACCGGGAGAGGACAAGGGAACCCCAUGGGUAGGGGCUAAAUCCUAUAAUCCAUGGGUGACCACCGGUAGCGAAGGCGCUUGUCUGGAACGGGUCCGACAGUGAGGGACGAAGCCCAAGGUAGCGAACGGGAUUAGAUACCCGUGUAGU
rnacentral:rRNA from 1 species